rnacentral:rRNA from 1 species
CUAUUAUGGAGAGUUUGAUCCUGGCUCAGGACGAACGCUGGCGGCGUGCCUAAUACAUGCAAGUCGAGCGGAGUUGAUGAGAAGCUUGCUUCUCUGAUGCUUAGCGGCGGACGGGUGAGUAACACGUAGGCAACCUGCCCACAAGAUCGGGA